UACAGAGGGUGCAAGCGUUGUUCGGAAUUAUUGGGCGUAAAGCGCGUGUAGGCGGCUAUGCAAGUCGGGUGUGAAAGCCCUCAGCUUAACUGAGGAAGUGCGCCCGAAACUGCAUGGCUUGAGUACCGGAGAGGAUGGCGGAAUUCCCCAAGUAGAGGUGAGAUUCGUAGAUAUGGGGAGGAACACCGGCGGCGAAGGCGGCCAUCUGGACGGAUACUGACGCUGAGACGCGAAAGCGUGGGUAGCAAACAGG
rnacentral:rRNA from 1 species